CCUACGGGUGGCAGCAGUGAGGAAUAUUGGUCAAUGGACGAGAGGCUGAACCAGCCAAGUCGCGUGAGGGAAGACUGCCCUACGGGUUGUAAACCUCUUUUAUAGGGGAGCAAAGCGAUUCACGUGUGAGUCAUUGAGAGUACCCGAAGAAAAAGCAUCGGCUAACUCCGUGCCAGCAGCCGCGGUAAUACGGAGGAUGCGAGCGUUAUCCGGAUUUAUUGGGUUUAAAGGGUGCGAAGGCGGAUGUGAAAGUCAGCGGUAAAAUUGCGGGGCUCAACCCCGUAAUGCCGUUGAAACUGGUUGCCUUGAGUGCGCGAGAGGUAUGCGGAAUGCGUGGUGUAGCGGUGAAAUGCAUAGAUAUCACGCAGAACUCCGAUUGCGAAGGCAGCAUACCGGAGCGCAACUGACGCUCAUGCACGAAAGCGUGGGUAUCGAACAGGAUUAGAUACCCUAGUAGUC
rnacentral:rRNA from 1 species